AUGGAACAUUCACGCGAAGAUAGAGAUGCUAGAAUUCUGAAGAUCCCUUUUGAGGCAAUCAAAUCCUUCUACUCUAACUGCAGCCAAUUUGAGUCCAAAGAACACCCUAGCACAUCUGCCUUUGCGGGAUACAGAGGUUGCGAAGGCAAACCUGAUGGUGAUGGUGAUAUGAUUUCGUCUCCAAAACGAGCGUCGUGGACUAAGGGAUUUGCAACCCAGAUCGGCGGAGACACGCAAAAAUAUGGUGGAGAUAAAGUUGUCUGA